GACAUGGUGCCUUUCACUUAGAAUGCUUACCACUUCUUACUUAAAACACUACUAGACUGAGAGUUUAAAAAACAAAACAAGGGGGCUGGAGAGAUGGCUCAGUGGUUAAGAGCACUGACUGCUCUUCCAAAGGUCCUGAGUUCAAAUCCCAGCAACCACAUGGUGGCUCACAACCAUCCAUCAUGAGAUCUGAUGCUCUCUUCUGGUGUGUCUGAAGACAGCUACAGUGUACUUAGAUAUAAUGAUAAAUAAUCUUUAAAAAACAAACAAAAAAAAAAACUACCUUUGUUCACAAAAUUAAAAGGAGCCCAGAAUCUGACAUGGUGGUGCAUGCCUUUGAUCCCAGCACUUGAGACGCAGAGGCAGGUGGAUUGCUGCUAACCUAGUUGUUCAAGGCCAACCUAGUCUACAUAAUGAGUUUCAGGACACUCAGAGCUCUGUAGAGGUAGGUAUCUAGAUAUCUAGAUAUCUAGAUAGAUAGAUAGAUAGAUAGAUAGAUAGAUAGAUAGAUAGAUAGAUGAUAGACAGACAGACCAGGCUAAGGUCCUCUGACUUACACACACACACAAAUAUACACAUGUCCCAGUACACCUGCAUGCAAUCCAUAUGUGUGCAUAUUUAAAAGAAAAAGAAUAGCAGGGUAUGGUGGUAUAUCCCUUUAAUACCAGCACUCAGGAAGCAGAUACAAAUAGACCUUUAUGAGUUUGAGACCAGACUGGUCUACAUAGUAAGUUCCAGGCCAGCCAGAGCUAUAUAGUGAGAUCCUGGAGAAGGGGGCAGUGGGAACUUAGAAACAUAUUUGAAUGGUUGGCUCUCAACCACAGAAUAUAUUUUACCUUGGCAUUGUUUUUUGGAGACAGGGUUCCUCUGUGUCACUCUAGCUAUCCUGGAGCUUGCCCUGUAAACCAGGCUGGCCUCAAACUCAAGAGAUCCACCUGCAUCUGCCUCCCAAAAGCUGGAACUAAAGGCAUGUGCCACCACUGCCAGGCUAUUAUGCUUUUUCAAAAAUACAAAGCCAGAAUUGUUUCCCCAGUUGAGCCCAAAUGUGGCAGCCAGAAGAUGUUCCAGAAGAUGACAGCUCCCAAAUAACAAGAUGGGGGUUCUCCCAAGCACAGCUCAAGUAGGCCUCCGGGAAGGUAAAUAGGAAUGAGGUGGAAUAGCCUGAGCCGGGCUAAGGGGUUUUCAAUGAGAGGCCUGUUGGUUUCAGACCAGCUGUUCCGAUUUGUUCUCAGGGCUCUUGUUCCCAUGCUUCUGCGGUUCCCUCCAGCACGGGACUAGUUUGGUGCUGAGCCAUCUUCAUCUCCUCUCUCCUAACCCUUGACACUCAAAAUCUUCCUGAUGCUGGUGAUAUUGGAGCUACCCUGGCUGGGCUUCUCUGAAUGAAAGUGAGCCACUUGCCAAAUGGGCAUGUCCUGCUGGCUGCUGUUUUCCCUCAGAAUGUUUGCUGCAGAACAUUUACAAGAUCUGGGAAAUGUUGAUGGAGUUAGUCCCUGGCCGGUUUUAUUUGGGCUGGGGGUCAUGAAAGCCCACUCUGUCCUUUUGGCCAUGCACUGUCUUUUCUUUCACUGAUUUCAGUGGCCAACUUAGAUGUGACAGGCAGUAGCAGCACCCAUCAUUUAGUUGGCUCUGGCUUGCUCUACACAUGGGUAUCUUAAGGAUGAAAUACUUUACACUUUUAUAGAUUAAUUGUUCUAACUAUAGAUAUUUGGUUAUUUAAAUCAUUUUCUGUUUGUGGUUUAUGUUUGUUGUUGGCUUUGGGGGAGUAACUUUGCUGCUGGAGAUAGACUCAAACUUGUGACAGUUUUCCUGCCUCAACUCUUAAAUGCUGGGAUCCCAGGUCUGAGCCAACAUGCCUUGUGUGCCAUUGCUGUUAGUUUCCUUGAGAUAUGGUUUUUGUAUCUUUGGUGAGUUAAGAAUUGGCCUGUUUCACUUUUCAGUGUGCCAUCUAACCCUGUGCUAGCCCCUUUUCAGUGUGUCAUCUAAGCUUGUGCUAGCCCCUUUUCACUGUGCCACUUUUCAGUGUGCCAUCUAACCCUGUGUUAGCCCCUUUUCAGUGUGCCAUCUAAGCCUGUGCUAGCCCCUUUUCAGUGUGCCAUCUAACCCUGUGCUAGCCCCUUUUGCUUGCCCCUCCCCAGCUCACUCCUUCUGUUGUGGUUGCUUAUGGUUUUCUUGUUCUUAUUAUUGUUAUAAUUUUUGAGAUUAUAAUAUAGUUAUAUCAUCUCCCUCCUUUCCUGUUCUCCUUCCAACCUCUCCCAUGUACCCCCACCCACUCUUUUAAAUGCAUGGCCUCUCUUUAAUUAUUAUUACACAUGUGUAUAGGCAUUCCUAAAUAUGUAACACAACCUGCUCAGUUAUUGUUUUAUGCCCUGGCCUUCUUUUGUUCCCUGUCACACUCAGACCUUCCAUUUUAGCAAGUGGCUGUGCUUUGCUCAUCCGUGGGGAUAGAUUUUUUAUUACUGAAUAAAAUGAAACGGCUUCUCCAGCCCCCUCCGGAUGGCGAAUGCCUCUGCCCUGCGCUUGAAUGCCUCUGCCCUGCGCUUGGCCCCUGCUCAUUUUCCUGCUGCAGCCCCUGGAUCUGCCAUGCAUUGACUGCUAGGGCUGCCAUGUCUGCCCUGCCUUGUUAUUCACAGUCCCUGAACCACGAGGCCCCACACUCUUCCUUCAUUGUGAAAAUAAGACACAUUGCCACCCUGAUGUCCCAAAUUCUCUGGUUCCCACUGGCUCCCCCUGUAUUCUGAGCACACUCGAGUUCAUUGCCUGGCAGCUGCUUGCUCCCAACCCCAACACUAUUCUCAGUAACACCAGUCUC
rnacentral:lncRNA from 1 species